AUGGAUGAUGUUUGGAACUAUAGAGCAUGGGAGGAUGUGCUCAAAACACCAUUAGUCAAUGCUGCUGCUCCAGGCAGCCGUGUCCUCGUCACCACUAGAGAUGAAGGUGUAGCCCGAGGGGUGUCAGCUAUAUGGCCGUACCAUCAUGUCGACACAUUAGCACCCGACGAUGCUUGGUUAUUGCUCAAGACGCAGGUACUCUCAAGUGAGAUAAAUGAAGACCACAUAAAUACGCUAAAGGAUAUUGGACUCAAAAUUAUUCAAAAAUGUGGUUAUUUACCACUCGCCAUCAAAGUAAUGGGAGGACUUUUGCGUGAAAGAGGAGGGCUACGUCGUGACUGGCAGCAUGUUUUGGAUGAUUCAAAAUGGUCAAGAACUAAAAUGCCUGAUGAGCUCAACUAUGCAGUAUACUUAAGCUAUGAAUAUAUGCCUUCUUACCUGAAGCAGUGCUUUCUGUACUACUCUCUUCUUCCUAAAAGUAGAAACUUUACUAUGGCUCAAGUUGCUGCAAUGUGGAUUAGUGAAGGAUUUAUUCAUGGAAAUUCUAAUGAUUUAGAAGAAUUGGGAGAAAAUUACUAUAAGGAGUUGGUAUCUAGGAACCUGAUAGAACCAGAUAAAUCGUAUGUUAAUAUAUGGGUUUGCAGCAUGCAUGAUGUUGUUCGCUCAUUUGCUCAUUAUAUGACUAAAGAUGAAGCACUCGUGACUCAAGACGGAGAAAAUGAUAUUCUUGCUUCACAAAAGUUCCUUCGGUUGUCCAUAGAAACUAACCGAUCACAAUCAGGUGAACUUAAUUGGAAAUCUCUUCAGACACAACAAUCAGUGAGAACAUUGAUCUCAACUAUCCACAUUAAGAUCAACCCUGGUGAUUCAUUGGCUACCUUUUCUAGUUUGCGAACUCUGCUUAUGGAAUCUGGAGAUAUGGCUGUAUUGGUUGAAUCAUUGCAUCAACUCAAGCACCUAAGGUAUCUAACACUAGUAAAUUAUGAUAUAUCUGUAAUUCCAGGGAACAUUGGCAAGAUGAAACUAUUGCAAUUCCUUGACCUUCGUGGAUGUACAAGAUUGUUGAAUCUUCCUGAUAGCUUUGUGAAGCUUGGCCAGUUGAGGUUACUUUCACUUCCCAAAGGAUGUAUGGUACCUAGAGGGUUUAGUGGUCUGACAAAUAUGAGGAGACUAAGUAUGUUUCAAGCCCACAUGGAUGGUGAUUGGUGCAGUUUGGAUGAGUUAGGGCCUCUUUCCCAGCUCAGAUUUCUUGCAUUAGUUCAAUUGGAGAAUGUAUCUGCUGCCUCGUUUGCUGCUAAUGCUAGGCUCAGCGAGAAGACGCAUCUUAUCAUGCUAUCCCUGGUCGAUCUGCACUAG
rnacentral:rRNA from 1 species